rfam:Salmo salar isolate Sally breed double haploid chromosome ssa16, whole genome shotgun sequence.
CUCUGAACAAUUUGUAAGUGGCUCUGGAUAAGAGCGUCUGCUAAAUGACUUAAA